rnacentral:rRNA from 1 species
GUGGGGAAUCUUCCGCAAUGGACGAAAGUCUGACGGAGCGACGCCGCGUGAGUGAAGAAGGCCUUCGGGUCGUAAAGCUCUGUCAUCAGGGACGAACGGCCGGUGGAGUGGAAAGCCACCGGAUUGACGGUACCUGAGAAGGAAGCCACGGCUAACUACGUGCCAGCAGCCGCGGUAAUACGUAGGUGGCAAGCGUUGUCCGGAAUUAUUGGGCGUAAAGCGCGCGCAGGUGGGAUCUUAAGUACAUUUUUAAAGUUCGGAGCUCAACUCCGUGAUGGGAUGGAAACUGGGAUUCUUGAGUACCGGAGAGGAAAGCGGAAUUCCCCGUGUAGCGGUGAAAUGCGUAGAUAUGGGGAGGAACACCAGUGGCGAAGGCGGCUUUCUGGACGGUGUCUGACACUGAGGCGCGAAAGCCAGGGGAGCGAACGGGAUUAGAAACCCGGGUAGUCC